rnacentral:rRNA from 1 species
CUGCCGUAUACUGGGGGAUAACACUUAGAAAUAGGUGCUAAUACCGCAUAAGCGCACAGCUUCGCAUGAAGUGGUGUGAAAAACUCUGGUGGUAUACGAUGGUUCCGCGUCUGACUAGCUUGUUGGUGGGGUAAUGGCUCACCAAGGCGACGAUCAGUAGCCGGCCUGAGAGGGUGAACGGCCACAUUGGGACUGAGACACGGCCCAAACUCCUACGGGAGGCAGCAGUGGGGAAUAUUGCACAAUGGGGGAAACCCUGAUGCAGCGACGCCGCGUGAGUGAAGAAGUAUUUCGGUAUGUAAAGCUCUAUCAGCAGGGAAGAAAAUGACGGUACCUGAUUAAGAAGCCCCGGCUAACUACGUGCCAGCAGCCGCGGUAAUACGUAGGGGGCAAGCGUUAUCCGGAUUUACUGGGUGUAAAGGGAGCGUAGACGGCAGCGCAAGUCUGAAGUGAAAUGCCGGGGCUUAACCCCGGAACUGCUUUGGAAACUGUGCAGCUAGAGUGCAGGAGAGGUAAGUGGAAUUCCUAGUGUAGCGGUGAAAUGCGUAGAUAUUAGGAGGAACACCAGUGGCGAAGGCGGCUUGCUGGACUGUAACUGACGUUGAGGCUCGAAAGCGUGGGGAGCAAACAGGAUUAGAUACCCUGGUAGUCCACGCUGUAAACGAUGA